rnacentral:rRNA from 1 species
UGGGGAAUAUUGGACAAUGGGGGAAACCCUGAUCCAGCAAUGCCGCGUGAGUGAUGAAGGCCUUAGGAUUGUAAAGCUCUUUCACCGGGGACGAUAAUGACGGUACCCGGAGAAGAAGCCCCGGCUAACUUCGUGCCAGCAGCCGCGGUAAUACGAAGGGGGCUAGCGUUGUUCGGAAUUACUGGGCGUAAAGCGCACGUAGGCGGACAUUUAAGUCAGGGGUGAAAUCCCGGGGCUCAACCCCGGAACGGCCUUUGAUACUGGGUGUCUUGAGUUCGGAAGAGGUGAGUGGAAUUGCGAGUGUAGAGGUGAAAUUCGUAGAUAUUCGCAGGAACACCAGUGGCGAAGGCGGCUCACUGGUCCGAUACUGACGCUGAGGUGCGAAAGCGUGGGGAGCAAAC